rnacentral:tmRNA from 1 species
GGGGAUGCCGGGCAUCGAUAGGAAUCGUAGGGAAAUAUGCAUGCUGAGGUACCUCGUCACCUCAUUAAACAACGGGGAACGACAAUAACUGCCAAUCUUGUCACACGGGUGAAGAAUGCGUUUCGCAUGCCUUCAUUCGGUAUGGCGGUCGCCUAAGCGCGCCUGCCCGUCUCGCACGUCAUGCUCGAUAGCGUGAGUGAGGCGUUAUUAUCGAGCUUUGGGUUUCAACUUGCCCGUGUUGAUUCCUGAAGGUACAGGGCUAGGACAUUUGAUGUUUCGUCCGUUUUUCAAUCGAGUGUCCGAAAUUCUAAGCGGACUAGGCAUGAAGUCAUAUCUCUCGAACAUUCACUAGACAGGGGUUCAACUCCCCUCAUCUCCAUUU